rnacentral:lncRNA from 1 species
CCUACAGAAGCAUAAAAUACCUACUCUCGUGGAAAACCUCGUUGGCAAACUCGUCUUUCAUCAACCAGAGAACCCUACCUCCUUCCUGGUAUCGGAGCUGGAGAAACUGAUCAAGCUGCGCUCCAACACGGAACAGGAUGCGCCGAGCCUCUUCACAGACGAGAACAUUGUGGCCCUCUUCGAGCAGUACGACGUUAACCGCACUGGCGUCAUCUCGGCCAAGCAGUACAGCGACGCCUUCAAGACGCUCAGUCUACCACUCACAGUGACACCGGAGGUCCACUGUACCAAAGCCCAGUUUCUGGAUGACGUGCGGGCCAGUCUAAAACUGAAGGCGUGCGCCUUCUACUAGCGGAGAGCAGGUCGGAUCUAGGCAGUGGCAUGGCCCCUGAAACACGGAAGCUUCCGUCAGCGACAGCACACGGUUGCCGACGCACUAACGACGCGUCCAGUGUUCCCGUCAGCGGCUGUGGACGCGGUUAUGGUAUCCCUAAAUGCAUGCUGUUGCGCAAAGGUUAUUCUCACAAUGUCGUGACCAUAAGCAUCUAUAAGAUCUUCCAGCGUUACUUGCAAUGCACUUGCAAUGAACGCCCUUAUCGCUUAAAAAACGAAGUGUAGAUCGAGUUCGCAUUGAUGGUUGUCGAAAUGUAGUGGUCAAAUGUAGAUGGCGU